rnacentral:lncRNA from 1 species
UGGCAAGCGUAAAACUCUUGAGUUCAAUCCCCAGCACAAAAAGAGUUUUCGGUGGAAAAUCGAGGGACACCUCUUACAAUAAAUCCCACAGGUCCCUCUGAACUACCUAGUACUUAUUGGCUACUUGUAAGAAUAUAGUGUGGUUGUGGACAAUUAAUACAGGAGGAAGGUGCGAUGCUUGGCCUCUGCAGUCUUGGAAAAAAGAAUGGCAGGGGAAUAAAAAUACGAAAACAUCUAAAGAUUAAGCAAUGAGUGGGAAGAAUCAUCUCAAAAUCCUAGAUUUUGAGUAUCAUGGGAAUAAUCAGAGCAACUUUGGGGAAGUUAUACUCUUUGACUUAAGGGGAAGAUGCAGAAGGAGCCGUGUAGGAAGACAUUGGUGGCAUAAACUGGCUGUGUGUUGCCUUAUGGAGGGCUUUUGAAUUUGCUAUGUUCCCACUGGAUGGAGAUAGGCAGACAGCAGCGUCUUUUGCCCAGGAUAAGUCUGAGGCAUCAUGGGUCUCGAUAUUAAUCACACAGUCUCCAAAGAAGCAGCACCUGGGUCAUCAUGCACAAAAACAGAAUUUUACUAGCCACAUAGAAAGAUAUUAGAUCUGGCUUCAGAGUUAUAGGGCAGAGAAAGAUUAACACCUGAUCCUUCACUGGCCUUGGAAAUGCAUUUUCCUUUGUUCUGAUAAGUGACAUCAUAAGCUGCUGGAGGAUAACUGCAUUGUACAGCCUGGGUUGAAGUCCAGCUCUGCCACGCACUGGCUCUGCAAUAGGCAAGGUACUUAAUGCACCUGGGCCCACAUCUUCAUUUGUAAACGAUACCUACUUCUGAGGAGAAGAGGAGUAAAUAAGAAAACCUGUGAUGGUAUUUCCCCUAAAUAGCCCCUACCACACCUCGAACCCCCAUGCCCGUGAGACCCUGUCCCAAAUUCAUUAAGAGGUAGCUUCGAAUUUACCUGAAUGGUUGGUGACUUUUAAUUCGUUGAAUAUGGUGAAAGUGAUAGUUUGGCUUCCAUGCUAAGUCAUAAAAACCAUGAACUCUUUCUUGCCUUGGGACACUUGCCUGCAGAGCCCAGAACAUCUGCAUAAGAAGUCUUACUAACCAGAGGCCAUUGUUCUGUGUCGGAAACCAAACCUCUCGGUGCUCUGGUCAGCAGGCCCAGCUGGUGUUACAUCCAACAGCCAUCAUCAACCACCGGUCCGUGUGAAGCCUACAGCUCCAGACCCUGCGGUCAAGUUCCUACCAGACAUCAGACCUUUCCACCUAAAGGGCAGCCAUUAGAGAGCAGCAAGCCAUCCACGAUAUCCCUGCCCAAAUUCGUGAUCUGGACUCUAUGCGAAUAAUAAAGUGGUUGUUUUAAAAUGG